CGUUUCCGGCCCUGCCGGUGUCUCCGCCGGUUGAAAGCGCGUGUCUGCGUCGGGUUCCGUUGGAGUGCGUUCGGUGCGCCGCCGUGGGUCCGCGCUGCUUCCACCCAACUUCCUGUUAGGUAAGAGGCGCGUGAGGCUCCUGUGCCAGGGGCAGUGCUGCUCCCGAGUCGGCGCGCGGCGGGGACGCGAGUCGGCAGUUUUAAGAAGAAUGCAUUGAUUCUACAACAUGCUAUUGUGAAGCCAUCCAGGACUGUUCACUCACUUAUUUAAGAAAGACUUGCUGUCAAGGCUUCUGAUCAACACGAGAUGACCGCCGUGUGGUAAACUGAUGAACCCCGACCCUGAUGAACAUGAGAUGACUGCUGUGUAGUAAACUGAUGAACCCCGACCCUGAUCAACAUGAGAUGACCGCUGUGUAGUAAACUGAUGAACCCCGACCCUGAUCAACAUGAGAUGACCGCUGUGUGGUAAACUGAUGAACCCCGACCCUCAUCAACAUGAGAUGACUGCUGUGUGGUAAACUGAUGAACCCCGACCCUGAUGAACAUGAGAUGACCGCUGUGUGGUAAACUGAUGAACCCCGACCCUGAUCAACAUGAGAUGGCCGCUGUGUAGUAAACUGAUGAACCCUGACCCAUUAGGCUUUGGCUACAGAAUGUGGAAAUAAGUUGUGUUACUACAUGUGUGUAAUCCUAGGGUGCAGGACACCGGCCGGGAGGUUCCGUAGAGUGAUGGGUUGUGCAGGUAACUCAUCCUCUAGUCCUCUGUAAGCUCCUAGAAGGAAGAAAUUAUGUCCUUUAGACUAAUAAAAUUCCUCCAAACCAAAUACAGCACCUACUGUGAAGACACAAAGAUACUUUUAGAAUAGUAAAAACUUUAUCCAUUGAGAAAUUCCUUAAUGAAACUGUAUCCAAGAAGUCAUUUGCCAGCAGAUUUCUUAGAGGUGCGAUAAAGAAGAGGACACUGCCAGUCGUCACAGCAGCUGCAAUAGCUCCUCUCUAUUGUUAAACACUGGGAUAUCUUGUACAGGUUUUCAGGUGACAAUCAAUUUUAAAAAUUAGUUUCAGUCCCCAUCAAUCAAUUAUUUAUUAACCCAUCAAUAAAAAUGUAAAUGCUCUGUAAGGUACAAUAGCUAUUAAAAGAGACGGAGGCACUUUCUGUGUCCAGAGGGGCUUUUAGUCUGCUCUGGAAAGCAAGAUGUGUGCAGAUGAGUGACACAGUGCAUCGUGUGGAUGCAAAGGGAGGGACUCACAUGGGAACCAGAGGAGCUGCGAAGGGAGGCAGCGGGGACUGGUGGUUCGAGACCUGGAAAUAACACAUGAAUAGGCAACAAAGGUUUCCGUUCCUCUUCCAUGCACUUCAGUCCUUGAAAAACAUCUUACCAUGGAAUUCCACAGCGUACCAAGCGAUUCCACAGCUUGAUGGCACACUCUCCUUUCUCAGCAUUCUUGAAAAUGGCGUGUGAGCCAAGCCAUCUUACUGAGAAAUUACCUUAAACCAUUUGAUGAACCAAAAAUAUUUUGUAAUACCCAUCUCCGACAUUAGGUAGGCAAAUCACACAGAAACACCGAGGUCUUCUGAGUCAUAUUUAUCUGAAAAAUCACAGCGAAAACACACUCUUCACUGAGUAAGUUUUACCACGAGAGAGUAGAUCGUACACCAUUGAUUAUGGAGGCUGUUUUAAAAAAAGGAGUUCGAAGAAAGCUUAAACAGCGGUCAGAUCACUGCCACCGCCUCCAAGAAGCUCCGUUUUCAGUUCUCAUUUAAAGGCAGAUAUUUCUAUAUGUUAAAAAAUCAACCUGCACUGUAUAGUCAUAUGUUAUACACCUAUCUCCCAAUUCUAAAACUGACCCCUUAAGAAAAAAAAAAAAAAAGAAAAAGGAAUUGAAUCAGCACAAAUCACCAGUGAGACAAACCUCAAUUAACAUCAUAUGUGGACAUUUUUUCUUUGAUAUUUAAGUUCCAGAAAAUGGCUAAGGUUUUAAAAUUAACAUUAGUUUUUACACACUGCCUGUCGCAAGCCAUGUACCUGGAGAUAGUCACAACUAAAAUUUGGGGAUGGUGAGGGGGAGAGAGAAAAUCAAACCGUGCUUCAAAAACCUUCACUGGGAAGCUGCUCAGGCCUCUCAUUUCCCCCCGUGCACCUUUCCUGAUCCCCGUGGGUCCUGCCCACUCGGUCACUGCUCCUCAUAAUGCCUCUCCUCCUUUGGUCAUUAGGCCUUUCCAAACGAGCGCAGUCAGCACGUUCUCUGUUCAUCUUUGCUUCUUGGGCUUUCCCCUGGUAAUUGUUUUCCUCAGCCCAUAAAUAUUCUAUUUAUUAUCUCCCUGUUCUUGACCACUUGUUCUGCAUUUUCUCCAUCUUCCUUGUGAUUAGAAACCUCAAACAGAAUGUCGGUCAUUGGACUCCCAGGCAUUUACUUUGCCCCUAAAAUAGGCAGAGCUCCACUCCCGUGGGUCCUAAUUUUAAUCAAAUUGGUCAUUUUUCUCCAAGCCUCAUCAGCUUCGUGCCUCCACUAACGGACUUUUUGUUUGUAUGUCUCUACGUGGAUUAUUGUUGCUGCUGGACAGAGCUGAUCAGGAAGGAAAUUUAUUGCACAAGAAUGGGAAGAAAUUAUCAAGUUAACUGAUGUGUAAGGGAGGUGUACCUGGAAGAUACUCUUUAAUAGGCAAUGCAUGUGUGGGGAUAUUUUUAUCGGUAGAAAUGAAAUAUAUUGAACACAAAUCGAGCAAAUAUGACUUGGUCGUUAACAUCCCUCUGAUUAAACAGGAGCGCUGCUAUGAGAAAGGGCUGUGCCAUUCUGCAGGCACACGAGAGUCGCUGGGUUUUAGGGUAGUCUCUGUGGAGAAUGGUGACUGGACCACGUGGGAGAGGGGCUUGAGGCAGGAAGGUGAGCAGACUCCAGAGUUCAAGAGAUGUUUGCAUACAGUGCCCUCGUUUCCCCUUACAGUGUGGCUGUGGCCAGUAUUGAGAACCAAGUGUUCAGGAACUCACGCUGGCCUGCCGGUCCCACCUGACCUGAGAGUGGCGGGCACUCAGCGUUUCAGCAAGCUGCUUCCUCGACGAUGCCUUUGAUCUCUUAUUGUUGCUGGGGAGGCUGGAGUCCACCCAAAUCAAGUGGGAAGUGCUGUCAGCUGCUACGUCUCUUACCUAGGAGCUUUAGAGGCUCAAGGGCAUGACUGGAACAGACUGGAACCCAAUGGAAGAGUUUGGAUACAGCAUCUUUCCUGCUCCACUGAGCCCCAGGGAGGAAGCCUCGGCCACUGGCUGUGCUGAAGAAGGUCCAAUCCAAGUGUGAGGCAGAAAAGCAGAGGCGUCCUCGAAGAGAAGGCCGGGGCUGCAAACCACAGGAGCAGGGUGUCCUGAGAAGCAAUGGGAGCACAAUCAAGAUGCCCAGAGUCUUGGGGCUGUUUCAGAAACCCCAAAAGCAAGAACACGGGGUGUCCAGUGGGUGGAGUCAGCAGUCCCAGUGCCAUUUGGAGUUCAGUCACAGGAAGAACUUGCAAAUGACAGCACAGCACCGGGCACUUGACCAGGUGGGAGACCCUGCAUCCCUGAGGUGGCUCAGGGGACAGGACAGAGGCAGGACCUUGGAUCCGGGAAUGGGGAGCAGAGCACAGCAAGACAAACCCAAACCCAUCUCCAUCGUUAAGAAAAUCCCCAGCAGGUGGGGAAGGAAGAGCAAGAAGGCGAGAGCCAGGCAAGGCUGGCAGUGUCUGGUGCACAGGCUCCCUUUUCACCCUGGCUUAUUUGAGAUGGAAUUUAAAAUAUUUUUUGCAAGAUAGAUUGUGAGCUUUAGAGUGAGAAAAGUAUUUCCCAAGAACUUUACUUCAUUUAUAAAACAGUAGAUACAGAGACAAGUCGUCUGUGGCCCAUAGGAUUUAAUGCACUCGAAACACGUUUAACCUCCAGGGUAGAUGUGAUGUCCUCCCUCCACCCGGAACCCCCUGAAAUCUCCUUAGUGUUUAGUGCUGCUGUGCCUGCUUUCUCACACACACCACUUGGCCCUCGUGACUCAUCUCAUACAUGCAUCUCAAUUCUCAGCCUCCCCACAGCCCAGACUUUCUGUUUUAACCUCACAGCUGCCCAGCGUGAUGGCUGUGUCCAGCCCAGCUGAUGGAUUGGCCAUUUCAACGUGAAUCCCAGGCACUCCAGCCUUCCUUUGCAGGUGCCAUUUCCCGACCUGGGUUACUCUACCAAGUUCUCUCCAGCUUUUGUCUCCACAGCAGCCUCCCCACAUCCCACCAACACAAACACACAGCACAUGCAAGCACACACGUGCAAACAUGCUUAAAUACCAUGUACACAUGCACACAGGUGUAUAUGUGUACACACACUACACACACUGUACAAACAUAAACCCACAUAUACACACAUGCACACAUUGUUGCACACAGUACACACACAGACACAUGCAUGUGAACACAUACACAUGACAACACAUACGUGUUCACAUUAAACACAUGUGCAAUACAAAUUCAUGUACACAAACAUAUGCUCGUAUGUGUGCAUACACAAUACACAGAUACACCCGUACAUCAACAUGCAUCAAAGCACAUGCAUACACAGAGACAUGCGCAAUGUGCACAGGUACACACAUGCACACAUACGCUUUGGAGCUGGGUUCACAUGCUGAGUGGAUGGUGUGCUCUGCACUAGAAGCCCAAGGCCAUGGCCCACUUACCUCAGUGAACCUCACCUGUGCUCCGUGUCAGCAGCCACACCUGGAUGUCACCCGGAACUGCCCAAUUCUGGCCCUGACAACACCGCAACCAAGGAAGAGGCACGAGACCCAGGAGACGAUGGUGCUGGCUGCUGACAGCCCGGCAGGAAGGAAGGAAGAGGGUGGUGUUGAGCCAGACAGGAGACAGUAAGAGAAAUGGCCUCUCUCCUCAGCGGCACAAUGGACUUUAGACAUCGCGCCUGUUUUGUACUCUCCAAGCCGGACUUCUCUACUCGCUGGCCUGGCGCUGAUGCCCAGAGGCCCCCUGUGCUUGUGGUCGUGGCCUUAGACAGUUGCCUGCCCUUUGUUCCAGCCCCGCCACACAGUCUGCACGGCCUCCACCACAGCUCUGGUGAGCCUCUUGGCUAGCUCCUGGUGACAACGUGCACUUCCCUGCUCUGAGAAGGUCUCCCUCUCCUCUCUGCCCACCCUGUACAGAGACAUCUUUCAAGACCAUCCCAGAGGAGAGUGGCCUCUCUCCUCCACCCCAAGAGGAUGGCCUCUCAUGUGGCUGUCACCCAUCUGACCCCUACCACAGACCUGAGGGUAAGUGGUGCUCGCGGGCCCACAUCUGCCAGCCUGCGCCUGGUUGGAGACGCCUCCCUCUCAUUUGUCCUUGCUUGCUGCGUGACUUUGGCAAGUGCUUGCCUCUUUGAGACCCUCAGUUUUCACACUUGAGAAAUAGAAAGGCGGUGCCUGCCCCAGCUGCCCCGCAGAAGAGUUUAGGUGGCAUGUGAGAAAAUGCCUUAUGAACUACGAUGUGAGCAACUGCAGCAUGCUGUGAACACCGCUAUCAUGAGCUCCUCGGGGGCAGGGUAACACCCAAGCAUUCUUACACCUCCCACCGGGCUUGUCACGACCGUAUGCAAAUGAAGGCCAUCAAGCAUGUUUGAUCAGUGAUGUAUUUCUUUAUUUUUAGUUUUAGGAUAUGACAACUCUAUUUUUAGCAGCUAUAGCGGCCAAAACUUUGUUACCACUCAGCAGUUGUGUGUUCUUCAAGAGUAGGUUUUGUGCUUUAAAAAUAUCUGAAUCCUCUACCAUUUACAGGUGUUCUGUGCAUACUUGGUGUAUGAGUUGCUCAGGAAGGAAGAAAAAUGUGCCCUUUUUAUCUUUUAAAAAGAUGGCUUGGCUUGGUACUCCCUUGCCUGCAUUCCUUCUCUGUAUUUGGAAACGAACCCACACAAGUGAAGGCAAAGGAAGCCUCUUGAAAGAUAAGGCAGGAAAAAUGAGGAUAGAAAACAAAACCCUUCUAGAGAGUUUACCUGGAGGCUACCACGGGCAUCGCUGCUCUGCAGUCUGUCAACCAGAGGCCCCUGGUGCUGCAGCAUGGCCUUGGCAGCUUCACCAACAGGAAUGUGUUCUCCUAGGGUACUGGAGGGUGGCAGUCCCAGAGCAAGGUGUGGCAGGGCUGCUCCUCCUGAGGCCUCUCCCUGGCUUGCAGACGACAUCUUCUCCCAUGUUCUCAUGUGGUCCUCCCUCUGCACACGCAUAUCUGACAUCCUCCUAUGUCCUCACACGUUCCUCUCUCUACACUCGAAUCCCGGACAUCCUCCUAUGUCCUCACGUGGUCCUCCCUCUGCACUCACAUCCCUGACGUCCUCCCGUGCCCUCACGUGAUCCUCCCCCUGCACUCACAUCCCUGACAUCCUCCCAUGCCCUCACGUGGUCCUCCCUCUACACUCACAUCCCUGACAUCCUCCCAUGCCCUCACGUGGUCUUCCCCCUGCACUUGCAUCCAUGACGUCCUCCCGAGCCCUCAUGUGGUCCUCUCUCUGCACUCACAUUCCUGACGUCCUCCCGUGCCCUUACGUGGUCCUCCCUCUGCACUCACAUCCCUGACAUCCUCCUAUGUCCUCACGUGGUCUUCCCCCUGCACUUGCAUCCAUGACGUCCUCCCGAGCCCUCAUGUGGUCCUCUCUCUGCACUCACAUCCCUGACGUCCUCCCGUGCCCUUACGUGAUCCUCCCUCUGCACUCACAUCCCUGACGUCCUCCCAUGCCCUCACAUGAUCCUCCCUCUGCACUCACAUCCCUGACGUCCUCCCGUGCCCUUACGUGAUCCUCCCUCUGCACUCACAUCCCUGACAUCCUCCCGUGCCCUCACGUGGUCCUCCCCCUGCACUUGUAUCCCUGAUGUCCUCCCGUGCCCUCACGUAGUCCUCCCUCUACACGCGCAUCCCUGACGUCCUCCCAAGCCCUCACAUGGUCCUCCCUCUACACUCACAUCCCUGACGUCCUCCCAAGCCCUCACAUGGUCCUCCCUCUACACUCACAUCCCUGACGUCCUCCCAAGCCCUCACAUGGUCCUCCCUCUGCACGCGCAUCCCUGACGUCCUCCCGAGCCCUCACGUGGUCCUCCCUCUGCACGCGCAUCCCUGACGUCCUCCCAAGCCCUCACAUGGUCCUCCCUCUGCACGCGCAUCCCUGACGUCCUCCCAAGCCCUCACAUGGUCCUCCCUCUACACUCACAUCCCUGACAUCCUCCCAAGCCCUCACGUGGUCCUCCCUCUACACUCACAUCCCUGACAUCCUCCCGUGCCCUCACGUAGUCCUCCCUCUACACGCGCAUCCCUGACGUCCCUUCGCCGUCUCCUGGGACAUCACUCCCAUUGGAUCAGGACCCUCCCUUGUGGUCUCACCUAACCUUCAUCACCUGUUUGAAGACCUCACUUCCAAAGACAGCCACAUUAAGGGUUAGGGCUUCAACAUAGGACUUUGGCAGGACACAGUUCAGCUGAUUGCAGAGUCCACAUAUCUCAGGCUUCUAAACGUGAGUAUGGCAUUGUGGACCUCUAUCAGCAGAGACACUUUCGAGAGAAUCUGGCUGAACUGUGGUGUCCACAUGUCGAUAUUCUGUUAGGUUCACAACAGGGAGUCCUCCAUUUCAGAAGGAUACAAGCCUUUCUGAUGUUGACGUGUGGCUGGCUAUCUGCUCUGGGGGUGGCAAGGCCGCUCUGCAUGGGUGCCCAUCCUCUUGUGGAUGUCCUAGGAGUGCUUGUGUGCACCUUUGUGUGUGUGUGCACGUGUGCGUGUGCACACAUGAGUGGGAUGGGGACCCUGGGGACAAGAGUCGGGAAAGGAAGAGGCAAGAAGGAGGGAUUAGUAUUAGCCCUCGUCAUCAUUACCAUGGAUACACCCGAAUUACAGCAGCUUCUGAUUCAGAGCCGUGCGCCUUGAGUGCCAGUCUCUAGAGGAAAAUAAUGGAGACUCUGAAAGAGGGAGGAGAAAUGAGGACAGAACUUCAGAGGGCACAAGGUGUAUAAUACGCAGACGUUAACGCCCAUUUGGUCGAUUCAUGUAAUUGUAGAAAUGAACUCAUUUUCAUUCUUGUGUCAUUAUCUUAGGUAUCCUGAAAACAAUGUGCUUUCAUUUUCUCAUUUAAAUUUGCACUUGUCUUUCUCAGGUUUUUGUGUCUGUUUCUGCUGUAAAACUUAAAAUAUAUCCUAAAUUACCUGG